AUGUGGGCAGUUUCAAGCUCAAGCUGUCUCCCAGUGAGCCCGAGAGCUUCUCACUUGGCAGUGGGGCUAGUGAAUCAGUGGCCAUCAAACAAAACGUGUUGUGGGUUUGCUUUGCCAGAUAGGAGACACCAUGUGAAUGGCGGGGUACGGUUAUUCUGGAAGUACGGCACUGGCGGGGUACGGUUAUUCUGGAAGUAUGGCACUGGCGGGGUACGGUUAUUCUGGAAGUAUGGCACUGGCGGGGUACGGUUAUUCUGGAAGCAUGGCACUGGCGGGGUACGGUUAUUCUGGAAGCAUGGCACUGGCGCGGUACGGUUAUUCUGGAAGUAUGGCACUGGCGCGGUACGGUUAUUCUGGAAGCAUGGCACUGGCGCGGUACGGUUAUUCUGGAAGCAUGGCACUGGCGGGGUACGGUUAUUCUGGAAGCAUGGCACUGGCGCGGUACGGUUAUUCUGGAAGCAUGGCACUGGCGGGGUACGGUUAUUCUGGAAGUAUGGCACUGGCGGGGUACGGUUAUUCUGGAAGUACGGCACUGGUGCGGUACGGUUAUUCUGGAAGUACGGCACUGGCGGGGUACGGUUAUUCUGGAAGUACGGCACUGGUGCGGUACGGUUAUUCUGGAAGUACGGCACUGGCGGGGUACGGUUAUUCUGGAAGUAUGGCACUGGCGCGGUACGGUUAUUCUGGAAGUAUGGCACUGGCGGGGUAUGGUUAUUCUGGAAGCAUGGCACUGGCGGGGUACGGUUAUUCUGGAAGUAUGGCACUGGCGCGGUACGGUUAUUCUGGAAGUAUGGCACUGGCGCGGUACGGUUAUUCUGGAAGUACGGCACUGGCGGGGUACGGUUAUUCUGGAAGCAUGGCACUGGCGGGGUACGGUUAUUCUGGAAGUAUGGCACUGGCGCGGUACAGUUAUUCUGGAAGUAUGGCACUGGCGCGGUACGGUUAUUCUGGAAGUAUGGCACUGGCGCGGUACGGUUAUUCUGGAAGUAUGGCACUGGCGGGGUAUGGUUAUUCUGGAAGCAUGGCACUGGCGGGGUACGGUUAUUCUGGAAGUAUGGCACUGGCGCGGUACGGUUAUUCUGGAAGCAUGGCACUGGCGGGGUACGGUUAUUCUGGAAGUAUGGCACUGGUGCAAUUAUGGAAGACUGCAAAGUAAAUCACAUCAAUGUCAGAUGGAUUAAGACGGACGUCAGCUCCUUCUGGGGUCCUGGCCAAUGUGAGCUUCUUUUGGUUUCUUAG
rnacentral:lncRNA from 1 species